rnacentral:rRNA from 1 species
CCCCUAGAUGUUCUGGGCCGCACGCGCGCUACACUGAACAGUUCAACAAGUCUUAACCUUGGCCGAUAGGUCUGGGUAAUCUUUGAACGCUGUUCGUGAUUGGGAUAGACCUUUGCAAUUAUGGGUCUUCAACGAGGAAUUCCUAGUAAACGCAAGUCAUCAGCUUGCAUUGAUUACGUCCCUGCCCUUUGUACACACCGCCCGUCGCACCUACCGAGUGAAUGGUCCGGUGAAAUCUCGGGACGGCGGCUUGGUCGCUUGCGUCCGACUGCUGAAACUUGAUUAAACCAUNUNAUUUACNGGAAGGUGAANUCGUANCA